AUACUUACCUGGAUGGGGUCAAUGGGUGAUCAAGAAGGCCUAUGGCCUAGGAAAAUGACCUCCAUUGCACUUUGGAGGGGUGCUUUCCUAAGGUCUACCCAAGUGGUAGAGCCUACAUCAUAAUUUGUGGCAGUGGGGGCCUGCGUUCGCGCAGCCCCUGACAAUAUUUAGUUCAGUUUCUUUUUAGUUUUUCAACAUAUUUGUUCUGAUUUUAAAUAUUAAUGGGCCUCGUUCCAGUUGCCUUCUCUGAUGUAUUCUUCAAUGUACUAUAUUAGAUAUUUUAAAAUUGAGUACUGUGAAGUAAUAUUUUUAUAAUCAUUUGCAAUCCUCUUAGUUCAAUGUUGCAAUGAUUUUCUUAGAUUUGCAUAGUUUUCAAUUCACAUUAAUUUUCUUUCUUUAGACGUCUUGGUGGAGCUUACCUCAUCAAAUCAGCAACGUAAUUGGAAGGAUACAUUAAAAAUUCGAGUCCAUAUCAACGUAAUUGUCCCUAGACUUCAGUCUAUUAUUGUCCUUCCGUUUGCUUAUUAUUAUACAGGCCGAGUCAGAUUGAAAUCUAUAGACUCAUCAGGAACAAGUUCUCUCAACCUUUUGAGAUUUGGAAAAUCUAUAGAUUGAAAUCAAUAUAUCGAGUAUAUGGAAUUUUGCUUAUAUC